CCUACGGGAGGCAGCAGUGGGGAAUCUUGGACAAUGGGGGCAACCCUGAUCCAGCCAUGCCGCGUGAGCGAAGAAGGCCUUAGGGUUGUAAAGCUCUUUCACCCGUGAAGAUAAUGACGGUAGCGGGAGAAGAAGCCCCGGCUAACUCCGUGCCAGCAGCCGCGGUAAU
rnacentral:rRNA from 1 species